rnacentral:lncRNA from 1 species
UGAAAGAGCACACAUUGCUCCUUAGGAGUCCAGUAUUAUCUCUAAUGCAACUCUAUUCCAAACGACCAGUGUCCAAUUUCACGAGCCUCUUGGUUGAGGAGUUCUCUGGCUUUAGCAGUAUUUCAUCUAUCAUUGAGAAUGAGAUGAGAAUAUCUCAACGAUGGCAGAUUGUUUUGCUUAUUGGUGUUGAAUUUUAA